rnacentral:rRNA from 1 species
GAUGAACGCUGGCGGCGUGCCUAAUACAUGCAAGUCGAGCGAACAGAUAAGGAGCUUGCUCCUUUGACGUUAGCGGCGGACGGGUGAGUAACACGUGGGUAACCUACCUAUAAGACUGGAAUAACUCCGGGAAACCGGGGCUAAUGCCGGAUAACAUUUAGAACCGCAUGGUUCUAAAGUGAAAGAUGGUUUUACUAUCACUUAUAGAUGGACCCGCGCCGUAUUAGCUAGUUGGUAAGGUAACGGCUUACCAAGGCAACGAUACGUAGCCGACCUGAGAGGGUGAUCGGCCACACUGGAACUGAGACACGGUCCAGACUCCUACGGGAGGCAGCAGUAGGGAAUCUUCCGCAAUGGGCGAAAGCCUGACGGAGCAACGCCGCGUGAGUGAUGAAGGUCUUCGGAUCGUAAAACUCUGUUAUUAGGGAAGAACAAAUGUGUAAGUAACGGUGCACGUCUUGACGGUACCUAAUCAGAAAGCCACGGCUAACUACGU